GGUUAAGCGACUAAGCGUACACGGUGGAUGCCCUGGCAGUCAGAGGCGAUGAAGGACGUGCUAAUCUGCGAUAAGCGUCGGUAAGGUGAUAUGAACCGUUAUAACCGGCGAUUUCCGAAUGGGGAAACCCAGUGUGAUUCGUCACACUAUCAUUAACUGAAUCCAUAGGUUAAUGAGGCGAACCGGGGGAACUGAAACAUCUAAGUACCCCGAGGAAAAGAAAUCAACCGAGAUUCCCCCAGUAGCGGCGAGCGAACGGGGAGGAGCCCAGAGCCUGAAUCAGUGUGUGUGUUAGUGGAAGCGUCUGGAAAGGCGCGCGAUACAGGGUGACAGCCCCGUACACAAAAAUGCACAUGCUGUGAGCUCGAUGAGUAGGGCGGGACACGUGGUAUCCUGUCUGAAUAUGGGGGGACCAUCCUCCAAGGCUAAAUACUCCUGACUGACCGAUAGUGAACCAGUACCGUGAGGGAAAGGCGAAAAGAACCCCGGCGAGGGGAGUGAAAAAGAACCUGAAACCGUGUACGUACAAGCAGUGGGAGCACAGAGCAAUCUGUGUGACUGCGUACCUUUUGUAUAAUGGGUCAGCGACUUAUAUUCUGUAGCAAGGUUAACCGAAUAGGGGAGCCGAAGGGAAACCGAGUCUUAACUGGGCGUUAAGUUGCAGGGUAUAGACCCGAAACCCGGUGAUCUAGCCAUGGGCAGGUUGAAGGUUGGGUAACACUAACUGGAGGACCGAACCGACUAAUGUUGAAAAAUUAGCGGAUGACUUGUGGCUGGGGGUGAAAGGCCAAUCAAACCGGGAGAUAGCUGGUUCUCCCCGAAAGCUAUUUAGUAGCGCCUCGUGAAUUCAUCUCCGGGGGUAGAGCACUGUUUCGGCAAGGGGUCAUCCCGACUUACCAACCCGAUGCAACUGCGAAUACCGGAGAUGUUAUCACGGGAGACACACGCGGGUGCUAACGUCCGUCGUGAAGAGGGAAACAACCCAGACCGCCAGCUAAGGUCCCAAAGUCAUGGUUAAGUGGGAAACGAUGUGGGAAGGCCCAGACAGCCAGGAUGUUGGCUUAGAAGCAGCCAUCAUUUAAAGAAAGCGUAAUAGCUCACUGGUCGAGUCGGCCUGCGCGGAAGAUGUAACGGGGCUAAACCAUGCACCGAAGCUGCGGCAGCGACACUGUGUGUUGUUGGGUAGGGGAGCGUUCUGUAAGCCUGUGAAGGUGUGCUGUGAGGCAUGCUGGAGGUAUCAGAAGUGCGAAUGCUGACAUAAGUAACGAUAAAGCGGGUGAAAAGCCCGCUCGCCGGAAGACCAAGGGUUCCUGUCCAACGUUAAUCGGGGCAGGGUGAGUCGACCCCUAAGGCGAGGCCGAAAGGCGUAGUCGAUGGGAAACAGGUUAAUAUUCCUGUACUUGGUGUUACUGCGAAGGGGGGACGGAGAAGGCUAUGUUGGCCGGGCGACGGUUGUCCCGGUUUAAGCGUGUAGGCUGGUUUUCCAGGCAAAUCCGGAAAAUCAAGGCUGAGGCGUGAUGACGAGGCACUACGGUGCUGAAGCAACAAAUGCCCUGCUUCCAGGAAAAGCCUCUAAGCAUCAGGUAACAUCAAAUCGUACCCCAAACCGACACAGGUGGUCAGGUAGAGAAUACCAAGGCGCUUGAGAGAACUCGGGUGAAGGAACUAGGCAAAAUGGUGCCGUAACUUCGGGAGAAGGCACGCUGAUAUGUAGGUGAAGUCCCUCGCGGAUGGAGCUGAAAUCAGUCGAAGAUACCAGCUGGCUGCAACUGUUUAUUAAAAACACAGCACUGUGCAAACACGAAAGUGGACGUAUACGGUGUGACGCCUGCCCGGUGCCGGAAGGUUAAUUGAUGGGGUCAGCGCAAGCGAAGCUCUUGAUCGAAGCCCCGGUAAACGGCGGCCGUAACUAUAACGGUCCUAAGGUAGCGAAAUUCCUUGUCGGGUAAGUUCCGACCUGCACGAAUGGCGUAAUGAUGGCCAGGCUGUCUCCACCCGAGACUCAGUGAAAUUGAACUCGCUGUGAAGAUGCAGUGUACCCGCGGCAAGACGGAAAGACCCCGUGAACCUUUACUAUAGCUUGACACUGAACAUUGAGCCUUGAUGUGUAGGAUAGGUGGGAGGCUUUGAAGUGUGGACGCCAGUCUGCAUGGAGCCGACCUUGAAAUACCACCCUUUAAUGUUUGAUGUUCUAACGUGGACCCGUGAUCCGGGUUGCGGACAGUGUCUGGUGGGUAGUUUGACUGGGGCGGUCUCCUCCUAAAGAGUAACGGAGGAGCACGAAGGUUGGCUAAUCCUGGUCGGACAUCAGGAGGUUAGUGCAAUGGCAUAAGCCAGCUUGACUGCGAGCGUGACGGCGCGAGCAGGUGCGAAAGCAGGUCAUAGUGAUCCGGUGGUUCUGAAUGGAAGGGCCAUCGCUCAACGGAUAAAAGGUACUCCGGGGAUAACAGGCUGAUACCGCCCAAGAGUUCAUAUCGACGGCGGUGUUUGGCACCUCGAUGUCGGCUCAUCACAUCCUGGGGCUGAAGUAGGUCCCAAGGGUAUGGCUGUUCGCCAUUUAAAGUGGUACGCGAGCUGGGUUUAGAACGUCGUGAGACAGUUCGGUCCCUAUCUGCCGUGGGCGCUGGAGAACUGAGGGGGGCUGCUCCUAGUACGAGAGGACCGGAGUGGACGCAUCACUGGUGUUCGGGUUGUCAUGCCAAUGGCACUGCCCGGUAGCUAAAUGCGGAAGAGAUAAGUGCUGAAAGCAUCUAAGCACGAAACUUGCCCCGAGAUGAGUUCUCCCUGACCCUUUAAGGGUCCUGAAGGAACGUUGAAGACGACGACGUUGAUAGGCCGGGUGUGUAAGCGCAGCGAUGCGUUGAGCUAACCGGUACUAAUGAACCGUGAGGCUUAACCUU
rnacentral:rRNA from 1 species